GAAUUGACCAAUUGUAGGGAGUC
rnacentral:miRNA from 1 species